CCUACGGGUGGCAGCAGUGAGGAAUAUUGGUCAAUGGGCGGAAGCCUGAACCAGCCAAGUCGCGUGAGGGAAUAAGGCCCUACGGGUCGUAAACCUCUUUUGCCGGGGAGCAAGGGCCGGGACGAGUCCCGGUCCGGAGAGUACCCGGAGAAAAAGCAUCGGCUAACUCCGUGCCAGCAGCCGCGGUAAUACGGAGGAUGCGAGCGUUAUCCGGAUUUACUGGGUGUAAAGGGAGCGUAGACGGCUGUGCAAGUCUGAAGUGAAAGCCCGUGGCUCAACCGCGGAACUGCUUUGGAAACUGUAUAGCUUGAGUACUGGAGAGGCAGGCGGAAUUCCUAGUGUAGCGGUGAAAUGCGUAGAUAUUAGGAGGAACACCAGUGGCGAAGGCGGCCUGCUGGACAGAAACUGACGUUGAGGCUCGAAAGCGUGGGGAGCAAACAGGAUUAGAUACCCGAGUAGUC
rnacentral:rRNA from 1 species